rnacentral:lncRNA from 1 species
AAAUAUCUUACAGUUUCUUUAGCAGCAGCCAUUGCCAGGAAUCCAGCCCCCAUUUCUACCUCUUGCAAUCCUACAACAACUAAUCCAACCUCUGAUGCAGCACCACCCAACCAGAUUAUGAGUGAAUCAUGAGAUGCUCUUUCUUGUCCAACAUUCCAUGUUCCAGUCAAGAUCUUAAUGUUUUCAUAUUUUGCAUAAGACUGCUCCCUAUUAGCAAACUCUGUUCUCAACAAAUCAUCAAUAGGUCCAGGAGAUCUUAUAUUCCACCCACGUAUGCCACCAUGAUGUGCCAGUGUGAACAGAUACGCACCUCCGACUACCAUUUUUAUAACAGGACUACCAUGUGCAACCCACUCUCCAAUCAGAUUUCCAUCCAGAUCCAUAACCUGAACUUUGCCGCUAACAUAGCCUACCCAUACCCGUGGCCCAUAUGUGCAAAUGGAUUGUACAGAAGAAGAAUGAUGCUGAACUUCUUGCAAUCUAUUCCCACUUCCAUCCCACAGGAUUACCGAUCCAUUUGUGCACCCAGUCCAGAUUAUACCAUCCAUCGAUAUAGCUAGGGCUUCUGUUCUGCGAUUAUCUUCUCCGAAUGUUCCCUUUACUGCAGCUCUGCGAACAGCAUCAGCUGCUCCCAUCAGGGCAUUCCGAGAACGCUGAAAAAAACUAACUGAACCUUGUGACUUUUCCUUCUUUGAUGAUGAAACAAAUUUUAUCUUCAUUUCAUCCUCAACGUAUGGAUCUUGUGCAGAUGGUAGCUCAACCCGAGUCACUACCUGGCCAUCAAUACCAAACACUUUCAAAAGAUCCCUUGUACGAGAAUCCCUGAAUGAUAACAAAUAGGUUAUCCAAAUUAACAGAAUAAGCCUGAAAUCUGACCAGCACUAAGGGAUUUCACAAAAACACUAAUGAACAUACCAUAAUGCAAAGGUUAGACUACCGGCACUCCAUACUUUGGACUUGCAAUUAUCAGAUGCCAUAUGUUUCACAUCUACAGCAGGCAAGUUGCACACACCACCCACCGUGACUUGGCUUCUAAGAUCAAUAUAUGACCUCUCAACUAGCAAAGCAGCCAUAUGUCUUUCUUCCACAGAAAGAGAAAGGGCCUUUCCAAUGGCAUCCCAAGGCCAGGCCCUUAUGACUCCGCCCUCAGAACCUGACCAUAUUUCACCUGGAGUUGAAAAGCAUUAUAUGCCAGAAUUAAUAAGCUCCAAAAACAUUUAGGGCACUACUUUUUGUUGAAACCGAUGAAGAAAAGUAGAGCAUUAAACAAUCUUUCUUAGCAUUUUAGAAAAUAGACCAUUAAAUAUAAAUCAAAGAAACAGAUAGAUGGAAGACCAACCAGAGGAUAAUUUUAGCCAUUAUCCAACAACUAAUAAAGUUAAGGUUCGUAGUUAAAAUGCAUUCAAACUGCAAAUUAAAGUCUUAGAUGUUGAUUCAUUGAAUUUACAGAAAAACAGCCCCUUUCUUCUACUGGUAUGAGAUCACAAUACUGGCUUCUUUGCUAAUGCUCCACCUAUUGCUGUCACCCGAAUGCUUCUACCUCUUAGUGAAUUGGUUGAUUCCCCAAACAUCCUCAUCUGCAUUUUGCCUGGGGAAGAGGUAACUUUUACCCCAAGCACCAGAAGGGAAAGGGGGAUGAAGUCCUUCUUAAUAGCCAGUCAAUGUAUGAGCUUAUACAUACAUACUAUUAUUGAAAUCUUGACCUUAGAACCAGGGUUUAUCAACUUGAUUAAUGCCAACUUUUGUAGAAUCAUAAAAGUUUAAAGCAGAAAAACAUAAAAAGAUACUUGGGGCUUGGCAGCAUGCACUGAUAGUAAAGACAUUAUAUAUGGAUGAUAAUGACAACGAAACUGAAUAGGAACUGUUAAACUUGAGUUCAAAAUGACUGAUUAUAUUUUAUCAACAAAUUUCAAGAAAACAAAUGCAAGCAUCAGACACAUGCAUAUAUUUACUAAAUUUUACCAUGGCUCAAAGAUUGGAAGAUUGGAGACUAGCAGAGAUAGUAAAGUCUGAUGGGAGUCAGGACACCUGUGCUGAUUUGAACAUUUUGCUCAAAUUAUUCUAUCAUCACAAAGAAAAUUCAACAAAGCCAAGGAACAGUCAAGUUCCAAUAAAUUUGUCUACAUGAAUCCUAUUUAACAUUAAGCAGACUAACUCGACAAAGCCCUGAUGCAAGUAGUGCACAAACUGACAAACAGAAUUUGAGCAAAAGGUGGCCCAGAAAUAGUCAAAAUCACCUUCAUGUCAAAUAGUACCUGUAAAUUAGCAAGAACAGGAGAGAUUUGAGCCUCAAAUUUUAAAGUUGAUGUGAGUCAAAUUUGUGGACCAUUAUGAUUGGCCUACACACUAAAUCAUUCUGUACUGAUAUUUGUACUGGAAAACUUCAUUACAAAUAUCAGCAAAAGAUCAUGAUGUGUCUUGUACCAAUAUAUGUAGCAUCAAUGGCAGUGUAGGCUGAUGCACUUGUUGCAAGCACCAUCAUGCCAUUGCAUACCAGUAACUGGAGUGCAUCUGGUUUCUUAAGCACACAGGCACAACUGCACCCAAACAACUCAUAAGAUUAUAAUAUAUAAACAACAUCACAGAUCAUAUAAUGCCUAUUGGGUCAAACAAAAAAAUUGAUGUUUUUAGAUACAAUGUUAUAUUCAAUUUAGCACAUGAUACAUCUUCUGAAGAUAAGUGAUACACAUCUUGACAAAAGUCAUGGGCUUUGUUUCGAACAAAAUCAAUGGUCCUUUCUAAGAGAAAAAUGACUUCUUUUUGCUGUUCAUCAAUUGGCACUGAUGCUGCCACCUGAAAGCUUAAGUUGUGCCCAUGCCCUAGUUCUGCAUGGAUAUCAUUUUUCUGUUUUUUUUUCUCUAUUCCAAAAUCCUCCCUGUCCUAGAUUUGUGUUGUUCAUAAAAAGAUUGUCUUUGCAGAAAUUAUUGAGAUGACGGCUAAUUUCACCAAAGAAGGAAGAAUAGAAGCAAAUGUUUUUCUUCCUUUAUCAAAUCUCACCAAGACAGUAAUAAAUGCAAUCAGUUUCUUUAGCACAUCUCAUAAAAAAAGACAGGACUAAUUGCAAAGUUAAUGUUGUUGGACGGUAAUUACCAUAAGAUGUGAUAACCAUGGAUAGCACAGGAGAUCGUUGAUGUGCCGGCCAGGAAAGGCCUUCUCUAAAUGGAGGGGCACCACCAAUAGCAGAAGCAACACCACCGUCAUCCAGAGAAGAAUUUGCGCUGGUCGGCUGGUCCAUCUUCCAUGACCGAAUCUUCCCAUCCUUGUGUCCGCUCCAGAUCAAGCCAUUGGCAACGUCCACCACCAAGCAGAGCGUCGGCGAGGUGCGGCAAGACUCACUGAAAGGGGCACUCUUCUCGUCGCCCCUCUUCACCGUGACGCUGGGCCCCAAACUGUCAAACGCGUCCUUGCGGUUCCACACUCGAAGGCCCGACUCCUGGCCCGCCCAGAGCUGAGAGGUAGUGCAGGCGAUGGUGCGGAGGAAGGAACCAGCCUGGGUUUCGCGCAGCGGGUGCGGGCGCACCUCGAUGGCGGGGGGCCGGUCGGGGUGAAUGGCGGAGCGGUGGGGCACGCGGAAGAUGCCGACGCCCCCGCCGUUGCCCAUGAACUCGGGGAUAGUGCCGGGGGUGCCGCCGUACUCGGACAUGACGCGCUCGAGGGUGAGGGAGCCAUCGCUGUCGGAGAGGGAGGAGCCACCCCGGUGGCAGUCGAUGGAGAAGGGAUUGCCGAAGGAGACAGGGGCGGUGGGGGCAUGCUGGUGGUGGUGGUGGGGUGGGGAGGGGACGGAAGGGGGCAGCUGCUGGGAGAGGGGGAACCGGAUUUCCUCGACGGAGGAAGAGUGCUUGUGGCGGUGAUGGUGGGAAGGAGGAGAGGAGGAGUUGUAGUGGCCGCAGGAGAGGGCGCGGGGGGCGGCGGCGGCGGCGUUAUCGGAGGGAGAGGAAAGGGUGUCGUCGUCGAGGCUGUGCUUGCGGCGGGCAGAAGUGCUGAGGACGGCGUCGCGGCUGAGGGGCUGACUGUAGGAUUUGCCCUUCCGCUGCGGCGCGUUGCUCCGGCCCGCGGCCUCAGCCUCCGCCUCCUUCUCCUCCUCCUUCUUCCUCUCGUCCAUCAAUCAAGAACAGAGAAGAAGAAAGGAAACAAAGACCAAGAUCACGAUUGCUGCGAUCUAUAUGAUCAUCGGAUCAUCGAUUGUUGGUUGUUAUUAGUGCGCCACUUGACUGUCUUCUUCUCCUUCGGUAGGAAUGGGUGGAAAGGAGACGGAGGAGAGGCACAUGGGAGGCCACGAAGAAGAGAGAGGGUGGGGUGGGGGGGUGGGGGGGGGGGGGAUGCAGUCGGAGAUACAGGCGGCGACAUGCACGCGGGAGAUUACAGGCGGCAGCGGGCCCCUCCACCCGUUUGGUUUUUGCUCUGCCGAAGCGAAGGAAACUAUUCUUUUUCUUUUUUAUUAUUAAAAUGGUGGGUCCAUCUGGCGACGUGUUCACCUGAUACCGGUGCUACGUCAAUCUCGGGGCCCAUCGCUCCCCACCAGGAAAAUAAAGAGAGCUCUCUUUCAUACCACGCGGCUCUUUCAAUGGAUCUGAUACGCCCCCCCGUGGGCAAGCACGAAUCUCAACCACGAGAAUUCCAAUCGUGACGCCCGCUGAUGAUGUACGUACCAAUUCAAGUCUGCAUCGAAACAUAUCCAAUCCAAUUGGGAGUGAAUAUACCACUUUAAAAUGAAUCCGAUGAGUGCAUAUCAAGUCAAAACCUCUAAAUUCUUUUUAUACUACUAUAAACCUCAUAUCAUGUAAGUUAAGCUAGCAUAAAUCUGAUGUCAUAAUCGCAUGUUACACUCGAAACAAUAUAUAACGAAUGAUACAUACUAAUCCAAUGGUUCAUCAGGUACAUAUGAAAUGCGAAGAUUAAAAAUGAUUUCGCCGCCUCAAAGGAUAUAAAGGUAACAACAACUGAGUUUUGGGUUAGUAUAUACAACCACAUCAUCCAGAAAUAAACAUCAUCACAUAUCAUUUAACGAGCAACACAAAGCAUACAAACCCAGCUUUAAGCGAAAAAGCAAGCUUGCUAUUGUGUAGUUCCACUGCCGCAUCAAACAUUUUAGUGGCAUGGUGGAGGAGCAAGAAAGAAAAGAAAAGAAGAUUCUUGUCAGAUGAUAUUGUUAGAAUAUGAGGUGUGGCCGAUUCAGAAUUAUCUGCCUCCACUAUCAUCUAAAGAAGACUCUGAUGCAGUGUCAUCUAAAGCUGAGGUCGAGGUGGUUUCAGAUGAACUCCCGUUUUCACCAUCCGAGGACGCAGUUCUGUCCUCUGUGAUUGGUCUCUUCAAGCACCAGUACAUGAUGCUAGCUGUCAGAGUAAGCAUCAUCUUUUGAUUCACCUGAUGGAGUAAAUCAUUGAGGAUAAGGAACGAUGUUAUUAGUAGGUGGAGAAAAAAUUCAUCCGAUUGUAGGUUGGUUUCAUUUUUAUCCACUUUAUGAAGUUACCUCCAGUAUGUCUUCUGGAAGCAAAAACACAGAGCAACCAAGCUUCCUUGCGACCGAGAUAAUAUAAGAUGCAUUCAUUUUCUUUUCUUCAUCUGCAUUUGUUCCACAUAUUAGACAUUAAAUUUUCAAAAGAGAAAGCAAAAGGUAAUCUUGAUCUGUAAAAUUACAUUACCUCUUAAAAUGAAAUGCAUAUUAAUAAAAUUGCUGAAUAAAAGAAACAAUACCUGAAGAUAAUAUCUGCUUUCCUUGACUAGAACAUUAGUAUCAAGUUCCAAUUUGUUGGUAAAUUUCUUAGUAAUUUGAACAGAAACAUGGAUGCAUCUCAGUUGAAAUACCAACUCAUCCUAAAUUAUAUAAAGCUAUGCAAUAUGAUAUUUUCAUCUUUUAGUUUAGAACUAUUUGCAACCUGACUGACUGGUUCAGUUUGUUUGGCAUCCACAUAGGAAAGACCGAGAAUAAUGUUCUGGAAAUCAACAUGGACCAGUCAGAGGGUCAUACCAAUCAGCUUUACUAGAUGGAAUAACAAUAAUAACUCAAUAAGAUAAUGACAAACCACAUGCAAAACAAAACUGAUAAUCAAAUUCUAAAUCUACCACAAGUGCAACUAUGUCUCCGACUACCUCCUGCAUCCCUAAUUCAAAUUGACUCAUCCAACCUAACAAGUGCAUCUAUGUCUCCUUUCCAAAGAAAACUUAGAAAAGAUUAUGUGCAUGCUGCACAAAUAUAACUAUAGAGAAUAACAGAGAUGAUAGAUAAAACAAGAAAACUGAGAAAUCAUUUUUGUUCGUACAUAAAGAUUUGAGUUACCUCUCUCUCCUUUAGUUACAAGGCUCCAAUUCACAACUCGAGGUUCAACAGCACUCAGCAAGUCAAGGAAAAAAAUUCCACUUGAAAGACUUCUAUCCUGUAAAUUGGUAAAAUAAAUGAUAUUAAAUUUGGCUGAGAUUGCUCUUUGUGACAACAUUUGAUGAUCUGUGUUAAAAUUUUACAAGAAACUACAAGAAACAAAAUAAGUAAUCACAUUAGUAAGUAAAAUAAAAUUUUGUUUAACAUUUUUUUUCCAUUCUGUUAAUUGCAGAUUGCAACAUUAAGAGCCAUAACACACAAUUGUGUAAUUAAACAUACAGUACUGCAUAUAACUGGACUGACUACAUCCUAUAUGUUGAAUAGUUAGUGGAACUUAAGAAAAAUAGAAAACCAUAAACAUAUAAAAGCCAUUUCCUAGUACACAUGAGUACAAAAAUAUAACCAAGUCAAGAUGAAAAAGCACAUCAAUUAUAAUUUAUAGAAUAAUGAGUUUCUAAUAAAACCAUAACCAGUGAAAAUAGAGCUUUAUUAGUUAAAAGUUGCAUAAGCUUCUCUUAUUCCACUUAACAUUAAACCAGAAUGUUAGGAUCCAGAACAAGUACAAUGUACAUCCACAAAGCUUUGAGAUUAGGAAAAUAUAGUACCUUAAAGCUGUCCAUGCGUGAAUGCCUUCCAGAAUUCUUUACUCUAUCAUUAGCCCAAUUCAAUAUAUCAACGUCUUUUAUCUCCUUUUCACGAGAAUGGAAUCUCAAAUUCUUUAAAAGUUGGAGAAUGUUGUAUCUCAUCAAUUGCCACAGAAAAGCUUAAACAAAAAUGUAAAUAGAUUUAUUAGAACUUUAAAUCACAAAGAUAUAGCCUAACUGCCAAUAGUCUAAAGGAAAGCCUUUUAAUGCUAGCUGUUCUACUACAGAGCUCUGCUAUAAAUAACUAACAUGAUACGCUUUGCCCAAAUUUAAGGAUCAGAUAUUUUAAUUCUUAGGAAAACUGCUAAUGGGAUUGUAAAUAUUCUAAUGCUUACCCAAUAUGAGUUUCUUGUUCCCUUGCACAAUAUCAUUUCCAGCAAUGUUAACCAGGGAAAAUUUCAAUUGUUUCCCAAUCUUGACAACUUGAUUGCAGUUCUCUACUUUUUUGAAUGGCAUUUUAAUAGGAGGUUUGUUUGCAGACUUCCAACAAACUAUACCUGGAGCAACUUUGUCAAGGGCCUCUAGAAGGACCCAUCUGCAAGUUUAAAGUAAUAUAUCAGUUGAAAUUACAGCUCCAAUUAUCCUAACAGUGAUAGACAUAAACUAGUACAGAAAGCAUAAGAUCCAUAAACAGUUUACCCUGUUCUAAGAUCUUCAAAUACAUUGUUUAUAUAUGUUGGGAUUCCAAGACUAUUGAUCCAUAACCGAAAUGCUCUUUCCUCCCUUGAAACUUGUGGAUCAUCAGAAUUUGCUUCAAGAAAUGUGAUCUGUUUCAUCUGUGAUGAUAGGCCAUUCCUGCAGAUAAUGAAUAAGAUAUAGCUCUUAAUAAAUGGUGAUUAAAUAUAUGUAUUUUUUGUAUGGCUUAUAGGUCAAAGAUCUACCGUAUAUGGUACAUGUAAAAGAAAAUAAACUCAUACAUCUAUAAUACAGACCAAACCAUUAGAAUUACGUUAACACCCAGAAUUGAUAUGUAUAGGCAAAUACUUGGACAAAAUAUAUGUUAUUGCUGAUUCUGAAAUACUGUGAGCUUUAUAAAUCUAUGUUGCCAACAAAAAAGAACAAUGCAUAAAGUGAAGUUUCACUCCCUUAGGCAUCCCAUCUUAUUACAAAUCUGAAAGAAACAAUAAAAAAUAAUGCAAACGCAUUCUUUAUUUAUCUACACAUAAUGCUUACAAGAAGAUAGCAUUCCCUUUAUCUCUAGGCCAGUCUUAUCCUAUGAACAGUGGAGGUCACCACCGUCGAUUCUUUUUCAGGUAAAUUGGUGUAAUAGAAACACAUGUGAAAGUAUAAAUAUAAAUUAGAAUAGGUUUAGAUGCGAUUUAUCUUCCAAGAGGACAUAAACCAUGUAACUGCAAAUUUUAACUAAAUGUGAAUGCUAUGAAAAUGAUAAGCUAAGCAUGCUAGUAAACAUCUUCACCCAUUCUCUAAAUUAAUUAGGCCAAUUACCCUCACCUUUUCUGAAAAAUAUGGGCAACAAAGGCAAGGUUAAGAUUUGGUGAACCUUCAACAAUGUCCUUUGGAGUCAGAUAUCUUUUGCAACCCAUCCUAUCUGCAUGCUCAAGAACUAAUUUUGCUCUUUCAAGAAGUUCCUUCACAGUACUUGGGUAAGGCUUCCUACUAUACUCUGGAGCCAAAACAUUUAGCAAACAAGCGUAGGCCUCCCCAUCCUGCAGUGGGGAACAUCACUGAUGAAUUAGCUAUUACUAUCAGAAUGCUACCAUAAAACCAAUGUCAAUACUUAAUCUUAUGUCUCCAAAGAUAAUUGCAUUAAGUUAUGGAAAAUCAAAUUAAAACGAACUUAAAGAAAAAGAAAUGGGAAAAGGAAAGAUGAAAGCUUUGAGAUUGAGUUCAGCUACAUGCCCCAAAGUUCCAUCUACAAGUGGUGAGAUCACACCUACCUGAUCUCUCCACACUGCAUGUCAUGUGGGAAUGCCACAUCAUAUGAUAAAGUUACUGGGAUGGAACUUUGGUUAAAGGAGCACUUAUAAAAAGAUUAUAGAGGGAAAAAAUUGAUAAAGAGCUUUUCUUGGAAUUUAUGAUUGGUAAGUGAAUCCUACAAUUUUCUGAUAACAAGUUAAGAAUUUACGUCAUUUUUCAUAACACAACAUUUGGAAUACAUAAAUCCUUUUCUUCAUUUAGGUGGCAGGGAUUAUUCGGAGUCUCCGAGGAAGGAAAAUGUAAAGAGAGAAGAUGGUAGGGUUGGUUGAUAAAUAGAUAUAGAAAUGAAUAAGAGGAAGAGUCUUUGAUAGACUAAAGAGGUCAUAAAAGGUUUCUGAAUUGGUGUUACCUUCACAUCUGAUGAGAAGUUGGUUAUCAAUCUCCUGAAGCCACCUUUCUUUAAUUGAAAGUUCAUCCACCUAAGCAAAAUCUUCUCUGGUGACAGACUCAUCAGCUCUUCAACGUCCUGUAGAUCCAAAUGAAUCAAGGGUAGUUUACUCGACAUACUUUGCAAUGCAAAACUUACAAACCCCUGACUGUUUUUAAGAUAAAAUAGCUACAACAACAAGAAACAUCACGGACCUUGCUAUCACCAAUUAACUCUACAAGCUGAGGAGUUUUCUUUAGGUUUACAUCAGCUAGCAGUUGAAUCUGAUGGCAGCAUUUUCAGAAACAGAGGUUAACAUCAUUAUCCAAGAAUAAUUUUUGGAGAAAUCUCAAAAGUAACUGUUUUUUAGUUGCGAUAGUAAACGAUUUUCAUAUGUUCAAGAAGAAAGAAAGAUAAUAAAGUUUAAGACUGCAUUGCACAAAAUUAAAAGAACUUACCUUGAUAAUUUGAGAUAUUAGUCCAAGUACAAGGUGAGGCUGCAAGCAUAAAUCAACAGUAAGUGCUUGGUUUACAGAAACUUUUCCAAACAAAAGGAACAGUAGAAGUUUGAGAAAACAAAAAUAUAACUAUGUUAUACAGUGUAAGUUGGGUUGCAAUUUUCUCACAUCAUGAGAUAGUUUAGAUACUCAAAAUGUUACUAUUCACAGUUGGAGGAUAAUAUCAUGUAAAUAGUAACAUCAAUAUCCAAUUGAACAUUAUCAGAAUUGAUUUAUCUAGUGCAACAUAGUGAGGCAUAGUAUCAUAAUAUCAAUAAAGAUAUCAGGUAUGAUCAAAUGUGGAUAAACAAUUAUGAGAUAUAAGGUCCAACAGCUACUGAGAAGUGACAUAAUCAGGAAGGCAAAUGGAUCAAGACAGCAGUUCAGGCAUUAAAGACAAGCUUCCCAAUCCGAUAGCCAAAACUGAGCAUUUCUUAAAGUAACAAAUAGGCAACUUAAACAUGGUAGUAAUCAGUUUCUUAGGGCAGAUCCUCCUAUUAGCAACAUAUGCGACGUAAAAGACUCUUGGUUCUGGGCAAACUGUAGGAGAACAAUGACAAGCUACACCCUCAAAUUAAUCAAGGAGUCCUUGAAUUAGACAAGUAGCAAGUUGAGAAUUAACUAAAUACAGGAAAAGGGACACAAAAUUGUACUUUUGAAAACAUUACUCAUACUUAACAAGACCAAGAAGCUCUGCAGCACAUUCCUAGGAGCUCGACAAUUCCAAGGCUGAAUUAGACCAGAAGCAGUGGCGAGUAAUAUAAACUCACCCUCCCUUCAGCUAAGUCCUGUGUCCCAAUAUUAACGAGAGUACAGCCAAUGGCCUUGGCCGAGUGAAGGCACAGCGUAUGGUUCUCGUUCUUCUCCCAUGGGUUCAGCUCUCUCUUCGUGUUGAUCGCCCGCUCGUCGAUGGUCCCCGGAGCAGCUAUGUUGAUGAGUUUACUUCACAUGCAAAACCAAACAUCAACAUUCCUUCCCAAUCAACGGACUCCACAAUCAACCAAGGAUAAGAUAACAGGGAGAGGUCCGAGGAUCACCAGAGGAGAACACCGUCCUUGGAGAUCUCGAACAGGUCGUUGGUCAUCGGAUCGAUAGGGAGGUACUUCUUGAGGAAGGGGUCCUCGCCAAGGUAGCUAUUGAUGUGGGAGACGUAGGAGGACUUCUCGGACUCGCUGAUGGUGUGGAGCAGAGUAGUGGUGGCGGCCUUGAGGAAGGCCGAGGACGAGUUCUUCGCUCCAACCCUCCCUUGCAUCUUCAAAUACACCUUCAGAAUAAACAAACAAAUAAAAAAUCUAAGAACCCCCAAGUCGCCAAAGGUUCAGCCAACGAAGAAGAGUGUUUUUCCCGGACCCGAAGGAAGAGCUCGAAGUCGACUUGGUGGUCGAGAUCAGGGAAGGACUCUCCCAAGAGGACAGCCCUCUCGUCCUCGGAGAGGCCGUCGCCGGCGAUCUUGAGCUUCGACAUGGCGACGGAGAGAUCCCGAACAGUAAGCGGCCCUCCGUCGCCACCGCCACUACUGGUUCGCAUGGACAAGAACUGUUAUCGGAGAAAACGGAAGCAGAAUGAUGAGAAGGAGAAGGAGGCAAGAAAUGAUCCGAAGUAGAAGAAGCGGUAUGGCUAGAAUAGUAUACCUGGGAUUUGAGGGAGCGGAGCUCGACCUGGGUGAACUGGUUGUGGAGCGAGGGAUCGGAGACGACGACGCCUUCAAAGCCGGCCAUUGAUUUGAUUAUUACCGGGUAUCCCUCUUCUGGCUGUUCUUCUUCCUUGCUUGCUUGCUUCUUCUUGAUGGGGUGGGGAAGGGGGAAUGGCUAAAAGGAGGCAGAGUAGAGGUUGGUUGUGGAGAGACGGAAUGGGGAAGGGAACGAGAGCGAGUGGGACAGUAUGUAGCAGAUCAAAGCUCGGUUAGGGAGAGAGAGGAAUUGUAACGGAAAGGCAGGCGGUGAGGCGUACGGAACGGAGGCUUCCUGUCCGAAUUCAAAUUAUCAAGGCAUAGUUUCAUAUUUACCCCUCCGAAGUCAAUUAUUUUACUAUUUACCCCUCUAAAUUUAAAUUUAAUUUAUUUAUCCUCUAAAACCUAAAAAAUCCCAUCAGCUGUCAUUAUUUCUAACUUAAUUGAAACUUUAUUUGAUAUUUAUAUCCUUCAAAAAUUAGUUACGUAUAUAUAUAUAUAUAUAUAUAUAUAUAUAUAUAUAUAUAUAUAUAUAUAUAUAUAUAUAUAAUAUAUAUAUAUAAUUCAAAUGAGUUGAUAUUAAUAUAGCCCGGAGAAUAUUAAUUUUUGAAGGUUUAUAUAUAUUUUACUUAAGUUUUUUAUUUCUAGAGGAAAGAAUGGUAAAAACCCUAACAGUUAAUCUCCAUCAUAAUCUUAUAAAUGGUUAUCAAAUAUUAUUUUUUUAUUUCAUAAAAUUAUAUUGAAUGAAUUAAUCUCUUAAUCGACAUAUAUUAAUCUUGUCCAACCCAAUAUUAGUGGAAGAUUUGUGUACUGAGUUUAUUUUUUUAAAUCGAACGAUACGAUCAGAACGCCAUAAAUAAACUAGUAUUGGAUUAAAAUUUAGAUCAUUAAUAUUAUAUUACUCUUUAACAACUACUAAAUAUAUGUUGGAUCGACGAAAAUCUAUAAUUUUAGUAUUUUUUCACGAUAUAACACUAAAUUUUUACCAACUAAAUUAAUUAGCAACUUUAAAAUCUAGAUGAGGAGCAGAACGAAGGAAUCUAAAAACAUAAAAGUAUUCUUUUAGCUUGAGACUAGAAAGAAAGCAGAUGAGGAAGACUUGGGUUCAAAUGGGGAUUCAUUUUGGUUGGUCUACAACCUACAAAGCUGCAGAAAACAGGAAGGAUCAAUGGAGGAUACUACUCCAUUAUUAUACAUACACCAGUUUCCUGGUGAUGCUGACAGCUACUACUCCAUCCAAAGAGAUUUGAAUCACUGCAAAGAACAGAAGAAAAAGAAGGAAGGAAAUGGGAGCAUUUGGACCAUAAGAAAAGGUAUCAGUGUUUCCCUCCUACUUUAUCAUCAUUGCAGCAGUUCAUAUUAGAGGACUUGCGGGGACUCAAUGCAUGCCACUUUACAUCAAACAUUGGUGUCCUUUUGAGUGAGGCAAGUCCUUUGUUCAUUAUUUGUGAUUCUCAUAGAUUUCAGAGCCCCUCAUUACUCCAUCCAAAUUAUGUGUUUCAUGAUUUUUCGAUACUUAGUUAGUUUUGUAUAAGUCAUAUAUAUCCCGUUAACAUCAUUUAUAUAAAAGAAAUCAUAUUAUUAAUGAGCAAACAUAAGUGAUCACAUAAAUAUUAAUUAAAACAUUUUAUUAGCAUGACAAAAAUAAAAGAUAUUUUAAAAUAACUCCAAUUGAUUUUAAUUUUUUAUGAUAAUAUAUCUCUUAUUUUGAAUUAUUACUGUAUAUCGACCUUACUUAAUGUGCUGAGUUAAAUUGAACCAAAUUAAUAACCAAAAGGAUGAAAAUAAUAUGAAUUUAUAUACUUAUAAAUAUUGCAGCAUAGAAAUCAUUCUUAAUUGUUAUGGUAACAAGUUGAAAAUUGAUUGAGAGUACUGAUUUAAGUUUCACUUUGACUCCAUUUGUACACCAAGGAAGAUGAAGAUUGUUGUUGUCAAGGUUUCUAUACUUGUAUUAAGACCUUAUUAUCUAUCAUAUAGCACUUGGACCUACUGGAAGCUCACACCUUUCUACUAUUUCGACAAAGCUGCUUUUUUUUUUCUUUUGCAUGCAUGAUUCUCAUAAUUGCAUUACAUCUAAUUCUUUUCAAUAUAGAACACAGCCCAUCUUCUCCUGUUCUGUAGGACAAUGAAUGAUCAUUUGAACUGUGGGAAGGAAGGUGUUCCAAGUUGGAGUGGUAUCUCACCAAAAGAAAGAGCAUAGGAGUAAUGGAUCAGACAGUGGAUGGGUGUGUGCAUGUUUCAGGUUCAGAACUAAUGAAGAUUUCUGCCAGUUGCACAUGUCUCUGAGGUGUGGGAAGUGGUGUUCAUGUGGCUUAUCUCUUCUCAAAAGAAAGAAGAAUGAUGUUUCAUGUUCUUCAUGUUUCCUUUUGAGGAUGAUGAGGCAAUUAUUUUAUUAUUUUGUUAGCUAGGAAUCACCUUUUGGUACUGAAUGUUGUCCUUCCAUUUUUAGAGUGUAUUAAAAAUAUUUUUGUUUAGCUCAUCAAAUCUACAAAAAAAAGGAAAAACAAAUCUGAUCUGAGUUGAUGCAUGGUUUAAAUUACAUAAUACUCAUAGUCAAUGUUCAUGGACUUGUCCAAUUGCUAAUAAUGAAACUAUGAAGUUCUUCCUUGAUUGUUGAAACUGAUAUCGAAUUAUUAACAUAUAAAAGUAAUGUAUUUUUCCUUUGAGCAUUCCGAAAAAAUGAUGGUGAAUAUUACUUGUUAUUCCCACUUGAUUGGUAGAUUUAAGCAAACAAAACAAUAUUUGAAUAAAUAACACAGAUUUUUUUUGCCAUUCUAUCCCCUUAUUCUAUGUCUAAGCCUUCAUCAACCUCUAAUUCUUUACAACAACAACCACCGAGUUAACCCGAAUCAUCGAUACUUAUUAGUUUGUUCUUAUGAAUAAAAGCUGAAUGCCUUUUUUUUUUUUCCCUUCCAUUUAAUGGGUGUUUCAUGAACUACUUCAUGGUUCUUGCUUAACAAAAAAAAAAAGAAAGAAACUAAUUGAAGAAGCUUUUCUUCUGGUUUUUUAAGUGUUUAUUUUUCAGUUCUUGAGAUGAGAAUUUUUAGGUACAGCAAAGAUGUAAUUUAUACUCUGAAACAGUACUAUUGGAUCUACAAAUGGCCCAAAGAAAUUAUCCUCCACAAAAAAAACUAGUUGUAGGGAAUCAACUCAUACUUUGGCUAUAUAAUUAUUGUAUGACUAAAGAGCCAAAUUUGUGGGAAUAAUUUCAUCAAGCAGCAAACUACAAAAUUUCCAAAGUCAAGAAUUAAUGAGAGAGAAAAAAAAAACUUUUUAAAUAUGUGAAGAACAGAAAAAGAUCAGAUUUUAUCAAUAUGUUUGUCAUAUUUUACAUCACCAACAACAAGUUAAAAAGAAAAGAUUCAAACAUAAAGUUGAUUUAUAAUUGAAUAAUAUGGCCUAGAAAUUCAAGAAUUAUGUUUACAUCUUAAUAGAAAAAAUAUUUCAAUAGACAACUUCUUGUUGUUAGCUAAUUCUACAUAUGUUUUGUUAUAGAAAAUAAUUUAAAUAAUCAUUUAGCCGAGUACGAAAAUCGCGGAUCCUACAAAAAAUUAUAAUAAUUCAGAAUGUAUUAUUAUUAUUGUAGCUCAAUUCUUCAAUAGGAUCAACUUAGGAGGAGCCCAAAGGGAGUAGUAGUUAAGGCUUAAUGGAAGAUUUGAAUUAGCUAAUUAAGAGUUCCCCAAAUCCAACUCAUAUCUCUUCAAUUUUUCUUGUGUAUAAUCCACCAAGUAAACCUCUAAUAUUUAGUGAUUAAAACAAAAAGGUUUGUAGAUGGUGAAUGAUGUGCCAAGCUUUCAAAGGAAGGGACUGAACUCUAUGUAUCCAAAGUGGGGUGUGGUCAUGAGGGGGUCUAACUUAGGGUGACACAACACAUGUGCAACACUGACAGCUUACAUCUUUUCUUAGUACCUUGAAAGGUGUCCUCAAUCAUUGGGAUUUAGUGCACAUGUUAUGUGAUUUGAUAUGAUAUGAUAGGAUGCUGUAGCUUGACUCCAAUUACAUAAUGUUGAAGGGUAGGAUACAAAUAGAUGAGAACUGAUUUGUUUUGGGUGGUGUGUUCUCCUAGUUAGGAUAGAAAUAGAGUUAUACAUGUUUGUUGUAUGCUUGAGGUGAUGAGUAGAAAAGUAGUAGAAAAGGUUUGAUUUUUCUUUUGUAACCAUUCAUUGAUCUAGUGAUAAUCUUUUAUAUAGGCAAAGGUUAAACCACUUCAUCAAAUUUCUUAAGUAAAUUAUUUGAACAAGUACUUGAAAUCAGUAGUCUUAUAUGAAGAAGAUGUGAGAUAAUGAAAGAAUAUAUAUAUUCUAGAGGUAGUUUUCUUUAGUGAUAUAUGCUCUUAAGUUUACUCUUGAAAGAUAUAUCAAAUUUAAACUAAAAAUUAAAAUAUGUUAGAUUAUGAGUCAAACCUAAUAUAUCACAUGACUCUCCAAGAGAGAUAAAAAUAUAUUUAUUCUCUUAAUUUUUUUUCGAUCUCUUCUCACGCAUGAAUAUUUCCUAAUAAAUCAUCGUUCAAUAAGAAAAAUAUAGGUAUGCAUAUAAAUUUCUUGAAUCUUAUCCAUGCACCAAUAAUAAAUCCUAUAUAAAAUUUUCAACUAAAAUUAUCAAACUUACAAGUCCCAACUUUCAAAAUCAAGAUUGCCAAUGUUGGUGUUUGUCUCUUUCUCAAAUGAUAGGUUAUGCUCUAUGAUCCUUGUUUCUUCACUUCUACUUCAAUGGUGAACAAGUGGAUGUCAUGCAUCCUAUCUAGCAUCUAACUUGUUCUUUGGCCAAUUUGCUUUCUUUUCAAGCUUCCAUGUGACCCUCCUUGGAAGCUGAGGCAAAGCUUGAAGCUGGCAACAAAGCUCAAGACCAACUCUUUGUGGUCCUAUGACAAGACAUCAAGCAUCUGGACUCAAUUAUUCUGUAACACCAACAUCUGAUGACUUCCAAAAGCUCAGUUCACAUAGUGAUUCUUGUGACAACAUCUUAGUCUUUAUCUUCAGAGAAAAAAGUAGUCAAGUUCAAGCCAUGGAUUGGUUCCAUCUAAAUUGUAAGAAUGAUAGUGAAUCAAGUUCCCCUUCCAUUUCUAUUUCCAUUUAGUAAUACAAGUACUUUAGUGAUGGUUAAUUAGGUGUUCAACUAAUUAAGAAAAUAUUAAUAUUGUGUAAGCUUCAUCUGAAUUAGGAUAAUUAACUUGACUUGAAAGACAGAUUAAUUUGGUAUGAAGAAUAGAACCAUGGUCUUCAACCUGACCAUGCUCAAUGAUUGAUCUAAUUGCUAUUGAAGGCCCUAAGAUAGCUAGCAUUCAACUCCUAGAUUUAGGCCUAAUAGUUCUCUCAUGAUUGAGAUUGUCCUAACCCAAAUAGGGACACCCUAUUUGGAGAUGUUCUGAAUCAAGAAUAACAUUAAUUUGAUUAAUAUGUUAUAUAUCUAAAUAUAUAUAUAUAUUCAUUCUUCAGUAUCAUUUUAUCAGCAUAUAAAGCUUACUUGAUCACAAAAAUGGUUCAAUUUACUUACUUUGGUAUAAUUAAGUCAAUUAGUUUGAAUCAAAUAUGAAAAAGUAAAGAAUUGGAUUUCAGUUACAGCUGAAUAUUAUUAAAUAUAGGUUGCUAUGUAUUGCAUUUAUAUAGUAUCAGUAAACUAUAUUAUGUUCUAAAAAUCAACUAGAAAACUAAACUAAUCCAAUCCGCUUCGGUUUAAAUUAAUCUGAAUUCAGUUUGUGCCGUGUCAAAUUCGGAAAAUCGAACAAGUUCGCUUUGUUUCGGAAUUUUCUACAAAACAACACUAAACUUAACCUUGUGCUCAACAAAGCAGCAAAUGAUCAUGAGACUGUUUAUCAUCAAUCUUAAAGCUGUAGAAAACACAUCUGGAUCUUAAAUUGAGUACAAAAAAGUGGUCUAUUACCAAGCUUUUCGAUUAAAUAGACUCAGGAAGAAGCCAAUUAGGGAUGGAUUUAUGAUAUUUCAGAAGCAUCUAAAUGGUGAAUGUGUGGUUAUGUCAAUGGAGCUUUCACAUGAAUCAUGCAGUUUGAUAGGUGCAACUCCUGAAGCAUGCAUGCAUGCAUGUGUAGUAGUUCGUGUGUCAUUUUCUCUAUCAGCAAUGCACUGUUGAAUCAUGUUAGUGACUGUAGCAGCAGAUGGAUUGCCCGAAUGGCAUCUGCCUUAGCUUUUUCCAUUUUCUUCUUUCUUUGUUUCGGUGAAGAAGCUACCGGUUUUGCUCUCGAAAUCGCGGUAUUAUACCCUUAUUUGUUAGGCCAGAUUCUAUGCAGCUUUCUGUUCUCCAGAUCUUCUGCAAUGUUGUGCAAACAAUAAAAUGUUGAGAGAUUUUCCACUGUUGAUGUACACUUUUCAGACUUCUAUUUUGAAUUAACCUUAUUCUCAUAACAUCAUGAUUCCUAGGUUGGAUCAUUUUUACAAUGUAUUCAUGCAAACAUUUAUAUACACCAGAAGUAAGAAAGUUGCAUUCAUCCCUGCCUAUGACAUUUCUACCUUAUUAGAUUCUUGCAGAGGAGUAGACUCACUAGAAUGCUCUUAAAGUCCAUUCAAUUCCCUGAUCCAAUCUUGAUCAUUUAGUGUUAGUUGGUUCCUUGUUUGUAGGUCAAAGUGAAAGCUACUGGUUGAUAGCUACACAUCACCCAUGUAUUUGCAACAUAGAGAGAGAGAGAGAGAGAGAGACAGAGAGAGUCAUGUUGAGCAUAUAAAUGAUCUUAGUUAGACAUAUUUCUUGGCUCAAUUUUAUAGAAAAUUUUACUAAAGUGCAUCUUCGCGAUAAAUUCUAUCGAUUAUGCUUAUCGGGAUAAGCAUGUCAUGAAGUCAGAAACACAAGGAAGCUUUCAAACACAAAGUCCAUGGUGGUAUAGCUAGUUGUUGGCUGGAUGACAGUAACACAAGACAGAAGGCCCUGAUGGAUUAUGGUUGUCAAACAAUGGAAAACAUGAACAACAAAGUGGAGUCUGGGAAGUGGCAAUGCAUGGGAUACAGCAGAAACCCAGAGAGGUCCAUAGCUGUCUUGGAAGUAGGGUUUUCUGAACACCUUGAGAAUGCCAUCAAAUAGUUCAAGCUGAUGCUUCAUUUAGUGAGAUAGCUUUCGGAAGAAGGGAAAUGAUCUAACAGAUUGACAACCAGUAAAUGAAAGGUCAAGAGCUAUUGAAGCAACAGACCUUCCCAAUUUCUUCUUAUAUCAGGAGCUAAGAACAAGGUUUCAGGUUUCAGCUUUAGUAAGUCAUUUUUGUGUCAUAGACUUGAAUAUCUUAUGAAAAUGACUUGCAUGAAGAUAUGAUGCACUGAUCAGAAUAAUAUCUUAUAUCCAAUCAAAGAUAGUGCUAUCUAUAUAGAGGUCAAAACAUAGGCUCUCAGUGUCCAAUUAUGAUAAUAAGAAACUAUAAGAACAUAAAAGAAAAAGGGAGGAUGACAGAGUCAAGGUUAUCAGAUGUGGAAGAAUUAUUGAUCAGACACUGUAAAUUACCCAAAACUGAGUGGAAUUUUCAGGUUGGUAAUUGACUUUUGAUGUAUAAUAAUUGCUCAUAUACAUCUACAGUAAGACAAACAAGAACCUAUGAGGAAAUUUAGAACAUUUCCCUAGCAAACCUAGUCAGGUGUACUUUAUUUGAUUUUUUUCCUUUCUUUUUUCUUGCUAUGGAUGAGAAGAGUAAGUAAGGAGUAAAGGAUUGAAUUGUUCAACCAAAUCUUGAAGCAUUCAAUGGAAUCAUCAAGUUUAAGGUUUUAUUCUAAUGUUGUCAAUAGAUAAGGUUGUCUUUUCCAAAAUUGACAGGACAUGCUAUCAAACCAGUUUCACUGUUUCACUGUUAACACAAGAACAAUAUUCUAAUCGAGAUUAGACUUGAGCAAUGCUAAUCUGAGUCAAAAGACAUAAAACUUGAAAUCUUCUUCAAGAUCUCACAGUACAAAUAACACACUAUAGUUAGAUCCAGGAAACAAUCUUAACAUAUCCAGCAAAUAGAUCGGAGAAAAACCGUAAAAAGGAUUAUAUGAAUGUUGUCGAUCAAAAGUGAUAGUAAAGAAAACUAUUACACUUGUUCUAAGGAAAAUCUUAAGCAAAGAAAUAUAAAAGUUAAACAAAUAAUUUUUCUACAAAAAAUGCAAAUCACUGUAUAUUCAGGAGAGGAAGGCAUAUCUUUCUGUGUGUUUUGAUGGCACAAAAUUCUAUUGACAGAACUUACUUUGAAGAAAAAAAUAAAUCUCAUCAUUUACUUUAAUAGAUGAGAAUAAUAUACUAUACAAGAUGUGCAGUUUAAGUGUUCUUAGUGGUUUCUUUAGCCUGAUAAAAGAAUUUACCCUUCCAGUCAUCACUAGUAUUACAUUUUGUAGAAAUUUUCCACUUAAUAUUUUAAAAUCAGUGAAAGUAAAUAUCUGAUUAGAUUUUAUUUCAGAAUCUUAAGUGUUUAAUUUUGAAACACUUAAAAUCAUAUAUAAAGAGCAGCAAUAUGAUAUAUGUAUAUAUAUAUAUAUAUAUAUAUAUAUAUAUAUAUAUAUAUAUAUAUAUAUAUAUAUAUAUAUAUAUAUGUAUGUAUAUAUGUAUAAGCCAAUUGUUUAUAAAGGUUUCUUGAUUAUUUUCAUAAAUUAGAAAUAUAUAUAUGUUUUUCUUAACAGAAAGAAGAGAAAAAGUGGAUCUGAAUGGAGUUGUAGAGUGCAUUAAGUUGCAGAUUCAUAAUAUUAUGUUUGGGAGAAUUAAAGGAAACCAAGAAAAGAAUACACCAAUCAAUCAUUACUUAACCCCAUCAUAAGUAUAAUUAGAAUUUGACCACUUAAGAUAUAUAUAUCACAAGGACAAUUAGAACUUCAACAACUACAAAAAGAAGUAAGCUGAAGUACCACAGCCUGAGGAGGCCAUAUUGCAUCAUUUUUCUUUAGUGUAGAAACUGAGAUAAGAAAGCACAAAGUAGAAAUAUUUUCUGAGAAAUAUAAGUAAAAAAUUCAGAUAAGACCCAGCAUUUGCUUCCUCAUCAUGAUAUGAAGAACACCAUGAUGAGUGGCUUCAAACACACUCAAGUACAGCUCAACUGAGACACCUAAAGUAUUGCUGAGUCCCCACUGUAAUCUUUUGAGGUAGUGUUCCAGACUGGUGUGCUAAACUAAGACUCCCUGUCUCUUUCAGCUUCAGCUUUCAUUUCAUGUUACUCUUGCAGCAAAGAGGUGGCCCUCUAAUGCUUAGGUUUGCACAGGAAAGAUGCAACAAGAUAACUUGAAGGUGGUUCAAAUCAGGAAAUCUUACACUUUCUAUCACCCUAUGCAUGACUCCAAAAGAAGGCAGCAGCAAAGGCAAUCUUAAAUAACGCCACCAACCGGAGGACUAAAGUCUAAAGUAGGAUUGACAGCACACUCAAAGCCACUAUAACAGGAAAGGAAUAACCAGAUGGAUCAAAUGAAUAUAAUAAAGAUGUGUAAGAAACACUGAAAGAAUUGAUCCCCUCCCUCUUCUAGAGGAUCUUUUCUUGGGUUUCCAUCAACAUUUUGUCCAAGCUUUUGAGAGCAUGGCACACCCAUUUGUCUUAGGACUGUUUCCUUCGAUGGACCCACCAAGCUGAUCAUUCUUUCAACCUGCAAGUCUCGCUAAUGUCGAUCAGAAAGACAUAGCUUGAUCAGUCACAAGGAGGACACAAGAGGGAGGGAGGAAGAGAGAGAUUUCACCUCACUAUGAUAACACAAUUCUUGAUUCGAAAGAAAAUAGUUUAUGUACAAAUCUUGAUGUUCGUGAGAUGGUCAAGUCACUCUAAUUCACAAGAUACGCUAAACCUGGCCGUCUCUCUCGUUCUCUACCUCAAGUAAUCAUGGAGAAGUGAGCCUAAGAAGAGAUCGAGUCCAUGACCGUCUGCAUGAGCCGUACCUGCGUGGUAAGGAACCUUAUGUAGUCCGCUGUCUCCUCCAGCAGUUUGCAGUCGUCCAUGCUUGGCCCUCCCGGCACCAACUUGCGAAGAACUUGCGCUUGAUCCAUGUCCCUCCGCUGGGGUGUCGCAGCCCUAGACAGCCGCCUCGGAAACCGGAGGCGAGCUCGGCUGCGGAGCUUCCGUAGCAAAGCACGGCUCCACGCCCGCCGUGUCCCGGCCGAGUAGGCCAUGGACGCAUAAGCAGCGCGCCUUAUUCUGCGGCUUCGCCCGGCGGAGGAGCUGCUCGUGGACGUCUGCUGUAUACGAAAGAGGGCUCUUAGGAAGUGGGACGCCAUCAUGGUCUUCGAUCCGUGAAGGUUUCUAUUAGGGUUAUCACGGUUUCCAGUCGUAGAGCUCUUCGAUUCCAUCGCGAGAGAGAGAGAGAGAGAGAGAGAGAGAGAUGGAUAUGGUAAGAUGCCCGAAGGAAGGGAUGCUUUUAAGGUACGGUUUCUUAGGAUCUCUGCUCUUCUGACACACAGAGGGACCUGCUCGAUCUCAGGAGGAAAAGAUGAGGGCAAACAUAUCUCUGACACAUGCGUCAACAUGCAAAGAUCUCCUGCAGUAGCAUUUCCUAUACAACACGCAUGGUUGACAAAACACCACACAGUUCAUAACUGCGUGACUAUAGAGAGAGAAGAUGGAAGUGUGGGAAUAGGUGGGA